UUUCCGUAGGUGAACCUGCGGAAGGAUCAUUAAUGAGUUAGGGCCAUUUAGGCUCGACUUCCUAAUCCCAUGUUUAUCGAAUCUCUGUUGCUUCUGCGGACAUGUCUCCUAUCCGCUGGUGUACCGCUGCGAGUAGUCUUCUGUGCUCCGCUCCCCGAAGUCCUACUUUCAUAUCACUGAACUUUUAACAACAGAUGUCUUAGCUCUUGAAUCAAUGAAGAAAAAACUUUACCGAACGGACCCACUUGUUCACUCCACGAACAUAAACCUAGCUGAUAG
rnacentral:misc_RNA from 1 species